UACGGAGGGUGCAAGCGUUGUCCGGAUUCAUUGGGUUUAAAGGGUGCGUAGGCGGGCUAAUAAGUCAGUGGUGAAAGGCCAGGGCUCAACCCUGGAUGUGCCAUUGAUACUGUAAGUCUUGAGAGCAGUUGAGGUAGCUGGAAUGUGUAGUGUAGCGGUGAAAUGCAUAGAGAUUACACAGAACACCGAUUGCGAAGGCAGGUUACUAGCUGUAUCUGACGCUGAUGCACGAAAGUGUGGGGAGCGAACAGG
rnacentral:rRNA from 1 species